CUUUCAACGAACGAUAUAUCAUGAAGAGAUAUGUGAAAAACACCUUGAGGAUUGAUUCUAAACAACGUUUACCAUGUUUCAGUCGAUAUUAUGGAGUUAAUUUGGAAAAAAGUUUGGCGUUUUGAAGACUGAAUUUUCGGGUUUUUUUGGUAGCCAAACGUGACGCACCAAACGGAGCAAUUUCUCCUAAACAAAUAAUCUUUCAGGAAAAACGGAGCAUUUGCUAUCUAGCUGAGAGUCUCCUCAUUGAAAACAUCUGAAGUUCUUCAAAGGAAAAACUGAGCAUUUGCUAUCUGAGAGUCUCCUCAUUGAAAACAUCUGAAGUUCUUCAAAAGGGGAUAUAGGUCUAACUUCUUGAUCCUUGGCUCUACGAUGGAGUUGACAGUGUGAUGGGGUGUAUAAGCCAAUUUGAAAGAAUAGUUUCAAUAGAAUGUGUGGAUAUUCUCUUUGAAAUAUGUUUAGAUAUGUGUAUAAAGAAUAAUUGGUCAAAGUAAUAAUGUAUCAUGUAGUUAAUGAACUGAACUAAACUGUUGUUCUGAUCAGUUCUUUCGAGGUUAUCAUGAAAAGUGACAUCAGAUGGUAUCUUAAUGAAUGGAAGAGAUAAUUGGACCGAAUAGUGUGUGUACCUCAAAACCCCCUCUAACUGGCUGAAGAAGAGUGACAAAGGCGUUGAAUAAGGCCCUUAUGAACCACUUCUACCGAGAGAAAGGAACCAAGCCAGAAAUCGGUGUACAGUAUCAGAUCUAAGCUAUCAACUGCUUUUCUUUCAUGUUUCUCUCAGGAGUGUGAGAGUCCACGUGGAGUGAGCAUGGAGAGAGAUCUGUUCUAAACUUUUAUGAUGCUGGUAUACUGGUUGACGAAUGGACAAGACAUAAUGAGUGGUUAAAGAGGAGACAUUGAAAUUGGGACAUUAUAAUGGGCCGUCCACUUUGAACUGUAAAGCUAUCUGAAGAAGAACGAAAAGGACGGCAGAAGAAUCAGUGCCUGAGAGAGGGGGUUGGUCAACUGUGCCAAUAAAAUUGUUUUAGACUUUUGUGGAAUCAGGUUGAUUGUAGAGGUCUACACCAUGUAAAAUUAUAGUAAUUUAGAUUAAGAAUGCAUUGAGAUACUGAUCUGUAUUAUAAUCUGAUUAAAAAAGUUUAUAGUAGAAUUAUGGGAUAAUUAUACUGAAUGUUAAUAUGAAUGUAAAUUCUGCCAAUAUUGAUGGGUGUUAAAUUGAGUUUUUUUUACUUUGAGUGAUAAUACCAAUUUGAAACACUGAGGAAUGUCAUUCAACAUUUUGGUUGGGUAAAUAGUUUGGUUGUUAAUUAUGAUUUGGAAUAUGAAUGAUUUCCCUGACCUACUCUCUAUUCUGAGCAUGAGGACUUAGAGGGAAGACUGUCCUAUAUGUUGAAAUGAGGCCUGUGUUUAGAUACUGGUUCUCCUGUAACUUAGGGAGCAUUUCUAUGUUAUGUUAUGAUUUUAUUUUCCUCAAAUGGAUUAUUCUGUGUAAUUAAACAUGUUCAAUUUUGUCUUGUAAAAUAAAGGUUCUAAACUUAGUUUCAGGAGGGAGAAAGCUUACAUAUAAGCUAAGGUAUUUGACAUUGAAAGUAUUUGAUUUUUUCUUUUCUUUUAAAUAUUAAGUAUGUAAUUACUGUUCCGAUUCUCCAGAAGGGACAAUGUCCCUUGAGAGGGGAAUGUCGUGGCUGAAUCAGAAUUAGUUAGGUAACAUAGAUAAAUAAGAUGUUUCAUCUUAUUUAUUGUCAUUAGAAUGUCUUCUUUUGGACUAUACUGUUGGCAGUUUGCAGUUAUCCCUUCUCUUCUAGGGCUUAGUCACUAGGGGCCCAGAGAGGGGAGAGGUCAGGCUUGUCUUCUUAUGGGAAUGUGUCUGUAACUAUGACAUGUCCCCUCUGAGGUUGCCCUUAUCUUGAUCUAGUAUAUGACCUAAGAGGCUCACUGUCUCGUUGAUCUUGUCCAGGAGGGAGUGUAUUUGAGAUAGGGGUAUCUAGAAUUGACAAUUGAUAUAUGCCAUUGGAUGAGGUAAUGUUUUGGUCCUAAGUGGUACCAAGAAUGAGAUAGGAACUUCGUUUAGGAGACCAAACUGAACAAUAAUUUAUAGCUAAUGCUGUCUAGCUAUGGGAUACUCCUCUUUCAAGUAAAAGGUUCUUUGUGUAACGUUCCUAAGAUCUGUUAUUCGUCAUGUGAGUUGAGAUGGGUGUGUCUUGGUUAUAAAUGAUACUAAGAACUGUUUUGUAAGCACUCUCAGAGAAUUAAUUUAUAGACACUGAAUUGAUCUGAGAGUCACAGGGCUAUGGUGAAGCUCAUAUAAUUAAAG
ensembl:lncRNA